AUUUCUUUCUCCCUUGAGGACAGGAGGGUAACUCAAAAGACUUUUAGGAGAGUUGUUCCAUUUCAAUUUAUCAGUUGGUGCUAGCUGUUCUUUCCUGGAGGACAGAUCAUUGUGGUAAAACUGCAGAGUGCCAAGGAAGAACCGCUCCAAGUUUCGGAAAGUCAGCCCAAGCCGCCACUCGCUGGGACGCGGGGGAGCGCAUUGAAGUGAGUCCUAGUCCGGGCACUCG